GUUACCCCUUCCAUUCUUUGCUGAGCUUCGUGGAGUUUUAAAACUUUACUGCGUCAUUUAAAAUUUUCUUUUUACUUUUGCCAUUUCUUCUCUCCUGCUGUUGAACUCACCCACGCAGCAACAAGUUAGAGAACAAUUUGUUUUUAAUCAGUUAAAGGGUGCCCCCUAUUGUAUGGCAGAGAAAUAACUGAGUUUAUUUCAAGCAAGCCCAAUCCGGAGGUGGUGAUCGCGGUUUACAAAAUCAGUGUCCUGGGAGCUGAUCGUUUUCAGUCACAAAAGGAUUCGCCAUAGGACUUCUUUAAAAAUCCUUACGAGAAAAAUGCAUACAAAUAAAUGUGACAGUUUAAUGAGCAAACAUCAAGGUCAAGGCAGAGACCAUUGCCAGCACUCCAGAAGUCCCUCACAUGUCCCAUCACAGCCACCUCCUUCCCCCCACAGUGAUUAAGAAUCCUCCUGCCAACGCAGGGGACAUGGGUUCGAGCUCUGGU